AGACAGUCCUUCCAUUCAGCCCCAGUGUCUUUUUAAAGAGGGUUCUUUUUGUUUGAUAUGUGUCAAGAAUUUGUGACUUCUUAUACUCCAUGUUAAGUAUACAAAACUAGGAGGUUGUUGAUCUGACCGAGAAGGAUGUAUAAAGACUGUGAUUCUAAGAAGAUCCGUGAAAGUGGGGAAAAAAAUGCUUUGCACUAAAACCAAUUCUAUCUAAUUCUUCUUAAAAGAUAGGUGUUAAAAUAACAUCUCAAACAGUUAUGUUGUAGUCAAUUGUAUUUCAAUUUUAUAAGGCACUAAUAAAUGUAUGACUACAUUCCA